rnacentral:rRNA from 1 species
UACGUAGGGGGCAAGCGUUGUCCGGAAUCAUUGGGCGUAAAGAGCGUGUAGGCGGCCCGAUAAGUCCGCCGUGAAAGUCCAGGGCUCAACCCUGGAAUGCCGGUGGAAACUGUCGGGCUGGAGUCCGGAAGAGGCGAGUGGAAUUCCUGGUGUAGCGGUGAAAUGCGCAGAUAUCAGGAGGAACACCAAUAGCGAAGGCAGCUCGCUGGGACGGUAUUGACGCUGAGGCGCGAAAGCGUGGGGAGCAAACAGG